GUGCUUGCUUGGGCAGCACAUACUACUAAAAUUGGAACGAUAGAGAUUAGCAUGGCUGCCGCACAAGGAAGACACACAGAUUCGUGAGGCGUUCCAUAUUUUU